rnacentral:pre_miRNA from 1 species
GGGGCCUUAGUCUGCUAUUACAAUUGUGUCGGAAUGGUCGGUCCGUCCCUCUCGCACUGCUCAGUGAUCGACUAUUCUGACACAAUUGCAAUAGCAGACUAAAGCCCC